GAAAUGCGAUAAGUAAUGUGAAUUGCAGAAUUCAGUGAAUCAUCGAAUCUUUGAACGCACCUUGCGCUCCUUGGUAUUCCUUGGAGCAUGCCUGUUUGAGUAUCAUGAAAUCUUCAAAGUAAAUCUUUUGUUAACUCAAUUGGUUUCUACUUUGGUAUUGGAGGUCUUUGCAGCUUCACACCUGCUCCUCUUUGUUCAUUAGCUGGAUCUCAGUGUUAUGCUUGGUUCCACUCGGCGUGAUAAGUUAUCUAUCGCUGAGGACACUGUAAAAGGUGGCCAAGGUAAAUGCAGAUGAACCGCUGCUAAUAGUCCAUUGACUUGGACAAUACUUUUAUGAUCUGAUCUCAAAUCAGGUAGGACUACCCGCUGAACUUAAGC
rnacentral:misc_RNA from 1 species